GUCUCCUCCCCUCUCCUCUGUCUAAAAUUGCAAACUAUAUGUUUCAUAAGGAUGGAGCGUGCAGUGCUUCUUCCUCAAUUGCCACUCCCAGCCGCACCAGAGCUGCUUCUUCCUCCAAUAGAGCGCCUAGGAUCGUCUCUCCCAAGGCGGUUUCGGAUUCUCAGAAUUCGCAGACAUGGCUAGAUCCCGAUGCAAGCCGCUAUGAAACGAACAUUGGCAAGGUACAAUAAAUGUGUAGAUUAUCCUGAAGGUGCUAUUGUAGACAAAACAGAGUUCCUCUCGGAGCGAACUACAGGUUGAUUGAUAUUCCUGUGAGUAACUGCCUUAACAUGGGAGAUUACAAGAACGAAGGCUUUGUUGAAGUUCUUGCGGCUCAGUAGAGCCCUGAGAAUCCCAACUGGUUCCAGGGGACGGCUGAUGCGGUGAGACAGUACCUGUGGCUCUUUGAGGAACAUAAUGUCGUAGAGUUUUUGGUUCUUGCCGGAGACCAUUUGUAUAGGAUGGAUUAUGAGAAGUUUAUUCAGGCACACAAAGAGACUGAUGCGGAUAUCACUGUGGCUGAGAAACCCAAAGGGGAGCAACUCAAAGCUAUGAAGGUUGAUACUACCAUUUUGGGUCUUGAUGAUGAGAGAGCCAAGGAGAUGCCUUACACUGAUUUUAGAAAUUGUGGGUACACUUGGUCCUAAAUCUCGAUCGGUGAUGUUAUUUCUGGUUGUCUGUCCACAAACGCACCGUUUCAGAUCAAUGACUACCCUCCACUCACAAUCUAAACUGGAUCGUCGAACUACGUUAUGCUCAACACCAUUAUAGUCUCGUACAAAAAGCAAUGUUACAACAUGUAAGCAUAGACUGACGUGAUCGCCAUGGCGAGAAUGGGUUUAGUGCAAUUAAGACUAAGGUAUCAAAAACAAGAACCUUGAAUGAAGGAAUUCCGUUGGACGGCGAAUGAGAUCGGUGUUGUGGUAGAGAAUGCGACAAUGUUUAAGAGGAACCUUGAAUGAACGAAUUCCGUUGACAUCCAAUGUAAGGACUACAUGUAUCUACGAAUUGCAGCAAUAAUAAUCCUUUGUUCUUAGUUGGGAAAACUUCCAAUACAACCCCAUUUUCAUAGAA